rnacentral:rRNA from 1 species
ACAUGCAUGUCGAGUGAACAGAUAAGGAGCUUGCUCCUUUGACGUUAGCGGCGGACGGGUGAGUAACACGUGGGUAACCUACCUAUAAGACUGGGAUAACUUCGGGAAACCGGAGCUAAUACCGGAUAACAUUUGGAACCGCAUGGUUCUAAAGUGAAAGAUGGUUUUGCUAUCACUUAUAGAUGGACCCGCGCCGUAUUAGCUAGUUGGUAAGGUAACGGCUUACCAAGGCGACGAUACGUAGCCGACCUGAGAGGGUGAUCGGCCACACUGGAACUGAGACACGGUCCAGACUCCUACGGGAGGCAGCAGUAGGGAAUCUUCCGCAAUGGGCGAAAGCCUGACGGAGCAACGCCGCGUGAGUGAUGAAGGGUUUCGGCUCGUAAAACUCUGUUAUUAGGGAAGAACAAAUGUGUAAGUAACUGUGCACGUCUUGACGGUACCUAAUCAGAAAGCCACGGCUAACUACGUGCCAGCAGCCGCGGUAAUACGUAGGUGGCAAGCGUUAUCCGGAAUUAUUGGGCGUAAAGCGCGCGUAGGCGGUUUCUUAAGUCUGAUGUGAAAGCCCACGGCUCAACCGUGGAGGGUCAUUGGAAACUGGGAAACUUGAGUGCAGAAGAGGAAAGUGGAAUUCCAUGUGUAGCGGUGAAAUGCGCAGAGAUAUGGAGGAACACCAGUGGCGAAGGCGACUUUCUGGUCUGUAACUGACGCUGAUGUGCGAAAGCGUGGGGAUCAAACAGGAUUAGAUACCCUGGUAGUCCACGCCGUAAACGAUGAGUGCUAAGUGUUAGGGGGUUUCCGCCCCUUAGUGCUGCAGCUAACGCAUUAAGCACUCCGCCUGGGGAGUACGACCGCAAGGUUGAAACUCAAAGGAAUUGACGGGGACCCGCACAAGCGGUGGAGCAUGUGGUUUAAUUCGAAGCAACGCGAAGAACCUUACCAAAUCUUGACAUCCUUUGAAAACUCUAGAGAUAGAGCCUUCCCCUUCGGGGGACAAAGUGACAGGUGGUGCAUGGUUGUCGUCAGCUCGUGUCGUGAGAUGUUGGGUUAAGUCCCGCAACGAGCGCAACCCUUAAGCUUAGUUGCCAUCAUUAAGUUGGGCACUCUAGGUUGACUGCCGGUGACAAACCGGAGGAAGGUGGGGAUGACGUCAAAUCAUCAUGCCCCUUAUGAUUUGGGCUACACACGUGCUACAAUGGACAAUACAAAGGGCAGCUAAACCGCGAGGUCAUGCAAAUCCCAUAAAGUUGUUCUCAGUUCGGAUUGUAGUCUGCAACUCGACUACAUGAAGCUGGAAUCGCUAGUAAUCGUAGAUCAGCAUGCUACGGUGAAUACGUUCCCGGGUCUUGUACACACCGCCCGUCACACCACGAGAGUUUGUAACACCCGAAGCCGGUGGAGUAACCAUUUAUGGAGCUAGCCGUCGAAGGUG